GAUGAACGCUGGCGGCGUGCCUAAUACAUGCAAGUCGAGCGAACGGACGAGAAGCUUGCUUCUCUGAUGUUAGCGGCGGACGGGUGAGUAACACGUGGAUAACCUACCUAUAAGACUGGGAUAACUUCGGGAAACCGGAGCUAAUACCGGAUAAUAUUUUGAACCGCAUGGUUCAACAGUGAAAGACGGUCUUGCUGUCACUUAUAGAUGGAUCCGCGCUGCAUUAGCUAGUUGGUAAGGUAACGGCUUACCAAGGCAACGAUGCAUAGCCGACCUGAGAGGGGGAUCGGCCACACUGGAACUGAGACACGGUCCGGACUCCUACGGGAGGCAGCAGUAGGGAAUCUUCCGCAAUGGGCGAAAGCCUGACGGAGCAACGCCGCGGGAGUGAUGAAGGUCUUCGGAUCGUAAAACUCUGUUAUUAGGGAAGAACAUAUGUGUAGGUAACUGUGCACAUCUGGACGGUACCUAAUCAGAAAGCCACGGCUAACUACGU
rnacentral:rRNA from 1 species